UCUUUGUGUACCUAGCCCCACAGGUGUGCAAUAAACCCAGAGAAAUCCCAGAAACGGUGUUGAACCCAGCACCUUCAACGUCUGGUGACACUGGUAAAAUUUCUUAUUUUGAAUAGUGAUUGACAUAUGUACGUGAAAUAAUAAUCUUGCAUUCAUUAUCUUGUUGUAGUUGAUGGCUCAUAAAAGAAUUUCUUACAUGCUGUUUCAAAUGAAUUUCCUUCUAUAGAUAGUGCUUAUUUUUCUUGCAUUUAAUAUGCAUUCUAUGUAGUGUUUUGUCUGAAACCUGUUAAAAUCCCUAUAGAACCUCAGAAAAGAGUUGACAACAAGAAAGCCAAUCGAAGGUCAACAGAUGCAACUUUUCCUGACCCGUGUGGACCACCGUGCGAAGCUCUGACAAAGCCUGAGAACAUUUUGGCCAGCCGUUCAUCAUGGUGUUUUGUACCGCACCCUGGCCAACAACAGCUUCUCAACUAUGUUCUGGACAUCAGCAGACCCAAAGAUGAGCUGAUUGUUGAAACGUCUUCUGGAUGCCUCACGCGGUCAGAUUUUUGGACACUGGGUUUAAACAAAGAAAUGGAAUCGACUGUAAGUAUUUUUUUUCUACGAAUAUGAAAAAAUAAAGUGUACAUUCAUUGUUAUCAUGAUUUUUUUCUGUUUCAGAUUGGAAAUGGCUGUUUUGAGCUUAUCACUAAAAUUGUUCAGUCAAAGGUACUGUAUGUUGUAUAUGAUGAUUGUCAAGCUUUAAUUUAAAGAGCUGUUGUUUUAAAUGUUUUUUUGUUUUUUUUUUUUACAUUCUAGGGGAUAAGCAUUUACAUCGAAAAUCUGUAUGUCACCCGGACUUGGCUUGCACCCUAUGGCUGUGAUCCAUUGCGGUCCUUUCCUGUAAGUGUACCGUCCUUUAAAGAAACAAGCAAGUAAUCCAAAUGAUUUUUUUUAUAACUUUGGUGCGAGUUCAUAUACAGGAUACUUAAAAAUACAAUUCUGUUUCAGACUGAUGCUCAGAGGAUGGACAUCAUAGUUCUCCCUCUCUGGACACCUGGUCAUUUCCAGUUGUGUGUAAGUCUUGUUUUUUGACACGUACAAACUGUUAGAAUUUUGCUAUGUGUCUGAGAUGUAUUCAAGCUUUUAUGACGCAGUUUCAAAAGUCUUUGACUGUGAUCGCUUGCAAUGACAUUGUUUUCAGGUUUGAAGUCAUGGCUAACUGUCUUUUAGGUACUGAAGCCACCUAAAAGAGAAAUCCUCUUUCUUGACCCAUUAUACACCAAGGCAGGAUUUGGUGGCCAACAAUAUGUUUCACUUUUGAGGUCACAUUUUUAUAAGCAUUUUUGGUUUGUUCCGGAGUUUUCAGGAACCUGUUCAGUGUUCCAGGUUAAGUGCAUCCCAGAUCAUGUUCUGCUGAUCUUGAGUGUUCACACAUACAGUACACUCACAUGCUUUUUCUAUAAACUAUAUCAGCAAGUUUCUGUGUGGAGUUUGCAUGUUCUCCCCAUGUUUGCGUGAGUUCCCUCCGGGUACUCCGGCUUCCUCCCACCGUCUAAAGACAUGCAGCUUGUGGGGAUAGGUUAAUUGGAUAAUCCAAAUUGCCACUAGGUGUGAAUGUGGGAGUGAAUGUGAGUGUGAAUGGUUGUCUGUCCCUGUGUGUUAGCCCUGCGACAGACUGGCGACCUGUCCAGUCUGUCGCCCUAUGACAGCUGGGAUAGGCUCCAGCGCCCCCCGUGACCCUGAAAAGGAUAAGCGGAAGCGAAUGGAUGGAUGGAUGGAUGGAUGGAUGGAUAUAUCAGCAUGAUGCUUCAACAUUUUAUUCUCAUCUUCAAAUUAUGAUCAAGUCAGUGAUACUGUCUGUAGAUGAGUUUCAGACAUAAAUUGGGUCUUCCAGUGUUCUAUUUUAACAUAAAACACCAUUAAAAAUUAUUUUAUAAAAUAUGCCAACAUUAACUUAAAGCUGUAAAUGCUUUAUUUUGACCAACUGUGAGCAUGUGACUGUACUUUUUCAUUUUGUUAUGCUGUUUUUUUGAGGUCGUGUUCCUAAGGCCUGUAGUUACAGUUGGUGCUAUUAGCAAUAAACAUUUCACACCCAUCAUGAUCAUCAUCUGUUAACUUGUGAAUGUAACUGUUUUUUUUAAAAAAAAAAGGAAUCUUGCAGUGAAGAUCAUUCCCGGGCAGUGGUCAGAAAAAAAGAGCUGUGACUUGAAGGGUUUUCCAAGCCAAGACUAUGGAGUUGACUGUGGGAUCUUCAUGCUGAUGGUAAUUUGUCUCUUCUCUUCUUGAGAUUCAUACAGAAGCUAAUUUAAGCUUCUAAAGAAAAAUGACAUUUUUAUUUUUUCUUACAAAUAGUCUGCUCUGUACGUGGCACUGGAUGCUUCAUUUGACUAUACUAUAUCAGACAUGCCCUACUUGCGUAAAUGGUGGUGCUUGCUGUUGAUGGAGAACUUUGAUCUCAGGAGCUCUGGCAAGCUAUUUGCACACUGGAGAGAGGAAGCCAAAGCUGUGCUUGAAGGACAACACGUGCCCAUUUUCAGAGUGAAAAAGCGCAAGUUACAGGAAGUCAGUCAGGAGCCAGCAGUUGUUGCAGAUCUGCGUCCUGCUGUGCAGUGGGUUGUCCAAAAUAAGGCACUUUUCCGUGGACACGUAACAAUGCCCAAAUAUGUGUCCUUAAAUCAAGGAGACCAGCAGAGGGUCUUAAGAGACAUGUCAGAGGAAGAAGACACUGGAGCAAGGGACUUGUUCCUCUUUGUUUUUCAGUUUGCAGAGGACAUGGAGCUCUUUUUGAAUGCAUGUGCUGAUGAGCAGGGGCUAAGGGUCAGUGCUAUGUUUGACAUGUGAUGGACAAAUGAAGGCACUGGCUGUGUUUGUUUGUUUGUUUAAUAUGUUGUUGUUGUUGUUGUUUUUGCGUAGUACAAAAUUCCUAUUAAACUUAUUUCAAAAUGUU
ensembl:lncRNA